CUCUCUCUACCCUGCCCAAAUCAUUGUUGCUCCAUAAGCCAUUUCCCAUCGAGAGAGAGAGAGAGAGAGAGAGAGAGAGAGAGAGCGAUCGUAGGAGUCCAUGGAGGAGAUCGACGAUCCCACCCCCGCAGCGUCGGCGCCGGGCGAUUCCGCCGCGAAGGCGGCGGCGGCGGCGGCGUCGGCGUCGUCGGUGGCGUCGUCGUCAGCGGCGCCGCCUCCUGCAUCGGCGACGGGGAGGAGGUUGGAGGAGGAGGAGGAGGAGGACGACGACGACGAGGGGGACGUGUGCCGGAUCUGCCGCAACCCCGGCGACGCGGAGAACCCGCUCCGGUACCCCUGCGCGUGCAGCGGGAGCAUCAAGUUCGUGCACCAGGAGUGCCUCCUUCAGUGGCUCAGCCACAGCAACGCUCGCCAGUGCGAGGUGUGCAAGCAUGUGUUUUCUUUCUCCCCUGUCUAUGCGGAGGAUGCUCCUGCAAGACUGCCUUUCCAGGAAUUUGUGGUUGGAACAGCCAUGAAAGCUUGCCAUGUUUUACAGUUCUUCCUUCGGCUUGCCUUUGUUCUUUCUGUUUGGCUCCUGAUAAUACCAUUUAUUACAUUUUGGAUAUGGCGCUUGACAUUCGUGAGAACUCUUGGUGAAGCACAGAGGCUAUUCUUGAGUCACAUUUCUGUACCAGUGAUUCUUACUGACUGCUUACAUGGGUUUCUACUCUCUGCUAGCAUAGUUUUUAUAUUUCUUGGGGCUACCUCUUUAAGAGAUUAUUUUAGGCAUCUGCGUGAAGUUGGAGGAAAUGAUGGUGAGAGGGAUGAUGAAGGCCAAGAAAGGCAUGGAGCUCGGGCUGUUAGACGGCUAGCUGGCCCUGCAAAUCGGAUUCCUGCUGGUGAUGGAAAUGUCGAAGAUGGACAAGGAGCCCAGGGAAUUGCUGGUGCAGGUCAAAUGAUUAGAAGAAAUGCGGAAAAUGUUGCUGCUCGAUUGGAAAUGCAGGCUGCUCGGCUAGAAGCCCAGGUUGAACAAAUGUUUGAUGGCUUAGAUGAUGCUGAUGGUGCAGAAGAUGUACCAUUUGAUGAACUUGUUGGAAUGCAAGGGCCUGUGUUCCAUUUGGUUGAAAAUGCUAUAACUGUGCUGGCAAGCAAUGCAAUAUUCCUAGGUGUUGUGAUUUUUGUUCCUUUCUCAUUGGGUAGGAUAGUCCUCUACUAUCUAUCCUGGUUCUUUUCUUCGGCCUCUAGUUCGAUGCUGGCAAGUGUUAUGCCAAUUACAGAGUCGGCACUCUCUUUGGCUAACAUUGGUUUGAAGAAUGCCCUUUCUGCUGUGAAGAACUUCUCAUCUGAAAGUCACAAUGAGGGUUUUGUUGGACAUGUGAUGGAGGUUACUGCAGACACCUUGAAGAAAAACAUCACCGAACUUGAUGUAGUCUCAAACAGUGUCAAAGCUGUUUCAACGGAUGUAUUGAAAGAAACAACCGGCUCUUCACGCCUAUCUGAUGUUACCACACUUGCAGUUGGUUAUACGUUUAUAUUCUCCCUGGUUUUUCUUUAUCUUGGAAUAUUUGCUUUGCUUCGGUAUGUCAAGGGUGAGCGCUUGACCAUUGGAAGGCUGUAUGGUUUAGCUGCAAUAGUAGAGGCGAUUCCAUCUCUUUUCCGGCAGUUCUUGGCAGGAAUGAGACAUCUGCUUACUAUGGUUAAAGUUGCCUUCCUUUUGGUAAUCGAGCUUGGGGUCUUCCCAUUAAUGUGUGGGUGGUGGCUUGAUGUGUGCACUUUAAAGAUGCUGGGUUCAACAAUUGCUCAACGAGUUGAAUUCUUUUUGGUUGCCCCUUUAGUGAGCACUUCAAUUCACUGGCUUGUUGGGAUUGUUUACAUGCUCCAAAUAAGCAUUUUUGUGAGUCUUCUUCGAGGGGUAUUGCGUAAUGGAGUUCUUUACUUUCUGCGGGACCCGGCAGAUCCAAAUUACAAUCCAUUCCGAGAUCUAAUUGAUGACCCUGUGCACAAACAUGCUCGGCGUGUUUUGUUAUCUGUUGCUGUCUAUGGAAGCUUGAUUGUGAUGCUCGUCUUCUUGCCUGUUAAAGUAGCCAUGCGAUUGGCACCUUCCAUUUUCCCAUUGGACAUUAGUGUUUUUGACCCAUUUACGGAGAUACCUGCUGAUAUGCUUCUGUUCCAAAUAUGUAUUCCUUUUGCAAUUGACCACUUCAAGCCACGUGAAACAAUUAAGUCCCUUUUACGUUAUUGGUUUGCUGUGGUUGGUUGGGCCCUUGGCUUAAGUGAUUUCUUACUACCAAGACCUGAGGAGAAUGGCGGGCAUGAAAAUGGAAAUGGGGUGGUAAGGCUCGAUAGAAUCCAUGAGAGACGUGAAGGUGGGAUCCGGCAGCGUUUUGUACCGCAUGUUGCUGUAGAAGAUCACGACAGGAGAGGCAAUGCCAUUGAAAAUGCUGAUGUUGCUGAUGACUCUGAUUUAGAUGACCAAGCAGAUUCUGAGUAUGGAUUUGCACUUCGUAUUGUGCUGUUGUUGGUACUGGCAUGGAUGACACUUCUGCUAUUUAAUUCAGCUAUGAUUGUCAUUCCCAUUUCCCUUGGGCGUGCGCUUUUCAAUGCCAUCCCCCGCCUCCCAAUUAUGCAUGGUAUCAAGUGCAACGACCUCUUAGCAUUUAGUAUCGGAUGUUACGUCAUCUGGAGUGUUGCAGCUGGAGCAAGAUAUUCGUAUGAUUAUAUCAAAACUAAGAGAGUGUGGGUUCUCUUAUCGCAGAUCUCAAAAUGGUGUGCGAUUGUACUGAAGAGUUUUGCGCUUCUGUCAAUAUGGAUCUUCGUCAUUCCUGUGUUGAUCGGCCUUCUAUUUGAGUUGCUAAUUAUCGUGCCUAUGAGGGUGCCAAUCGACGAAAGCCCGGUCUUUCUCUUGUACCAAGAUUGGGCUCUUGGACUGAUAUUUCUCAAGAUAUGGACUCGACUGGUUAUGUUGGAUCAGAUGGCGCCUUUGGUGGACGAAAGCUGGCGAAGAAAGUUUGAGAGAGUGAGAGAGGACGGCUUCUCCCGGCUGAGAGGGCUAUGGGUGCUGCGCGAGAUCGUGAUACCAAUCAUCUCCAAACUACUGACCGCGCUAUGUGUUCCUUAUGUUUUUGCAAAGGGGAUCUUCCCCGUGUUCGGCUACCCACUCAUAGUAAAUUCUGCGGUCUACCGGUUUGCCUGGCUCGGCUGCCUCGUCUUGAGCGCCGUGUACUUCUGCGGGAGGAGGUUCCACACUUGGUUCACCAACCUUCACAACUCCAUAAGGGACGACCGCUAUCUGAUCGGCCGGAGAUUGCACAACUUUGGGGAAGAAUCUGUGCACCAGAGGACUGCUGGACCCGAGAGGAAUCCGCAGCCCCAGGAAACAGGCCUGCGAGAUCUGGGCCUGAUCCGGCUCGACCAGGAAGUGGGAGAUUUAGGGCUGAGGCUGAGGCGGGCUAAUCAGCGGCCGAACCAGCAAGCGAGGCAGGUUGUAAUAUAGUUGGAUGAUGAUCUUUGUCAUGCUGCUGCUGCUCUUGUUCGUGUUUUUGAUUACAUUUGUAUGAUAUGAUGUUAUAGAAGAGUAUUAAGGGAAGUGGAGAUAGCGGAGAUAAGUUGCAACUCCCCGAAUCUCUACUUGGGUCACAAACUUUAGGUGGUUCUGUGUAUAAUGCAUUAAAAUUGGCUUCAACAGGCUAGAUACUAACAGCAUGGGAGGGGCUCUCAGUUUCAGCUAAUUCAAACUUGGAUGGAUACCUACACUCCUACAGUACUGGAAUUCAGAAAAAUUUGCAGCACUGUACCCCUCUCAGAAUUUGAAAUAUGAGAUAAAUCCAGAAACCGUCGUCAUUGAAAGGAAAUGGUGCUUUAGUCCCACCUCUGCUGGAAGCAUUGAUGAGAGAUCCCGUAGACGUUUACUUUGUGACUCGAGUUCUGUCGACUCGUGAGCAUAUCAGGAUCCGAGUAUGAUCUGAUAUUAUCAGUUCCACUCUCACAGGUAGGAUUAAUUGUAUAUGGAUUUCUGCAGCAUUAGUGAAUUUGCAUAUUUACUUUUACAUGAAUAAACACUUUUUAGUAGUUUCAGCUUUGACACUUAAUAUAAUAUAAAUAUGUUUGUAAAAUUAA